CCAAAUAAGAAUUAAAUUUUUUCGAAUAAGAAAAAUUGUAUGAUGAAUAACAUAUCUUCUACUAAUAAAUUGUGAUUAAGGAAGAUGAUUACCUUCGACUUCGCCAGUCCCCCAACUAUCAUCAUCUUGCCCUGCUUCUGCACCCUCGUCGCUUGCCUCACAUUCAAUAGCUCGACCAAUAAAAAACAACACAAACAAACAUCAAAAAGACUGCAUAAAAGAAAUGAAACUCCAAAAACACACAACAAAUCACACAAAACCCCUCACUCUUUCCACAACUUUUUCAAGAUCAUCCCCCAAAUCUUCCUUCAACAGCUCAUCAAUCCCUAAGAUCUUCAGUUCUAAAUUUUAUAGUGGGUAUUUUUAGAUUUUUUAAUUUUGUAGAAGUUUCGAAUAUACCUCUUCAGACGUCGUCUUCAAUUCUUCGAUUCGCCGGUUCCUCUUCUCGAAAUUUCAGAGAUUCUCGAAUUGUCGUCUUCAAAUCUUCCGAAUGUGCAGCAAAGAUGGAAGAUGGAAGAUGGAAGAGUGAAAGUUGAAAACCCUAUUCGAAAAUAGUGGAAUAGUCGAGAAUGUGGAGUAAAUUUAGGAAUGACAGUUCACCAAAUAGAGAAAUUGACUACUC
rnacentral:lncRNA from 1 species